GGCCCAUUUGCUCAGUUAGUUAGAGUGUCGUGGUAAAAACGCGAAGGUCGCGGGUUUGAUCCCUCAUGGGCCA